UCCCUUUUUUCCUCUUUGAUGCAAAAAUUCAUUUCCUUCCAGUCAUUGCAAAAGUUUGCCCCCUCCAAUUUGGGGUAAGUUUCUCAUAUGUCUCAUCUUUUCUUGCUGAUGUUUGUGAUUUUCUCCUCUCCGAUCCCUAUCACGACAUUUGGUCAAGCGAAAGAGCCAAAAAACUUUUGAAGAAAUCUGAAGGUUUGGCUCUAUUCAAACGGCUCUAUUCUUUCCAUUUUCUUCAUAAAUAUCUCUUCUCUUUGCUGUUGUAUUCAUGGUGGACAGUCAAUUCUUUGGUCCUUUGUCAAUUCUAAAUUCAACUGAUGAAUUUGUCUUCUCUGUUCAAAAUUCAAACGACACAUUUUAAUUCCUGCUCUUCAAAACCCUAGCUUUUUGGCCUAUAAAUAUUCUCUUUUGGAGCUCACAGAAGGGGGUACAUGGUACAGUCGCCCCUUUACUCUACAAAACAUUACUACUCUAUCACUCAAAAACUGUAAGAAUCUCUUCCAAAACUUUUCUUUCUAUCUCGGUAGAUUUUAGUUUCGACGAGGUAUUCAAACUCAUUCGGCUUGAGGUUCGGGUCUCUCCAUAACGAGAGAAUAGAUUCGAGGUCGACGCCACAGUUCACUGCGCACAAGAAGAGCCGAAGAGUUUUACUUUGAGACUCAACGACGCCGCAGCCGCAUUUCCUCACGCACGUCCAGCCUCUACACUUAUUGAAAGCGAGUCAUAAAAAUAUUCACUCUUCUGUUUGAGAGCCAAACAUGGCUGUCUAGCAGAUCCUCUCCUUUGUCUUAUUUUUGCUAUGAUUGGUGACUAACGUUUUAUCUUUGUAUGACUAUCUUUUAAGUUUAGUUAUGUGAUUAUUUUAGUUGUGUAAAUAUUUUGACCCAAUGGCAACAACAUUGGGUAGUAACUAGCGCUUAUAUAAUCAUCUGGGCUCUUAGGAUACU